rnacentral:rRNA from 1 species
CAAUCUUAACGAUGGAUGUCUUGGUUCCUACAGCGAUGAAGGCCGCAGCAAAAAGCGAUAUGCAAUGAAAAAUGCAUUAACUGUGAAUCAUCGGAAAGCUGAAUAUAAUUUGUAAAAUUUCUAAUUAUAGAAAAUUUUAUUCCUUCAUA